rnacentral:rRNA from 1 species
GUCCACGCCGUAAACGAUGGGUACUAGGCGUCGGGGGGAGCGACCCCUUCGGUGCCGUCUCUAACGCAGUAAGUACCCCGCCUGGGGAGGUACGGCCGCAAGGCUGAAACUCAAAGGAAUUGACUGGGGCCCGCACAAGCGGUGGAGCAUGUGGUUUAAUUCGAGGCAACGCGAAGAACCUUACCUGGGCUUGACAUGCUGGUGAAAGCCGGUGGAAACAUCGGUCCCUCUUCGGAGCACCAGCACAGGUGCUGCAUGGCUGUCGU